GACGAACGCUGGCGGCGUGCCUAAUACAUGCAAGUAGAACGCUGAAGAGAGGAGCUUGCUCUUCUUGGGUGAGUUGCGAACGGGUGAGUAACGCGUAGGUAACCUGCCUUGUAGCGGGGGAUAACUAUUGGAAACGAUAGCUAAUACCGCAUAACAAUGGAUGACACAUGUCAUUUAUUUGAAAGGGGCAAUUGCUCCACUACAAGAUGGACCUGCGUUGUCUUAGCUAGUAGGUGAGGUAAUGGCUCACCUAGGCGACGAUACAUAGCCGAACUGGGAGGGGGGUCCGCCACACUGGGACUUGGAAACCGCCCAGACCCCUACGGGAGGCCGCCGGAGGGAAUCCUCGGCAAUGGGGGCAACCCUGACCGGGCAACGGCGCGUGAGUGGAGAAGGGUUUCGGAUCGUAAAGAUCCGUUGUAUGUGAAGAAAGGGUGUGGGAGUGGAAAGUGCACACUGUGACGGUAGCUUACCAGAAAGCGACGGCUAACUACGUG
rnacentral:rRNA from 1 species